rnacentral:lncRNA from 1 species
GGGCUCAACAUGUGCGGAACCCGCAUCCAAUGCUAUAUCUGGCUCCAUCCUCUUUCCAGGACGAGCAGGUCCUCUCCUUGGAGGUAUUCUUUAUAUGUCUCUAAAAGAGUUAAAAAGAGAGGGCAGUCGUUACACACUGAGUCAUAAUAUAUUUUACUGAAUUGUAAAUGACUCAUAAAUUAAUAUACAGAAAAACCUUAUGCUCCAUAGUAUAAUCCUAUACUUAAUCCUGACUCACCCUAUUGCUCUGACAGGACUCUUCUUAACCUUUGCUCUGAUACCAAGCUUUGUCACGACCC